GAGUGUGUUGAGUCUGUGUGUGUGUGUGUGUGUGUGUGUGAAGUGACCGAGCGAGGCUUGGACCUAUUAAUUAGAUAACUAUCUUGAGAAAUUGCCCAUUUUCAAAUAGUCGGCGAGCAUUUGUGUAAUUAGAUUUGCUUUUCACAACAUUUACGUUUGUUCGGGUCGGACGUUGAUUGCAUUUGGCGGCUGGCGGCCGACGACUCAAAUAACCUGAGCGAUUAAUCAUGGCAAGACUCGAGCCAACAGCAACAACAACAACAACAACAACUACUACUACUACUACUGAACUUAACUCCAGACAUCUGCCGUAUGCACAUAUGUCGUGUUGGACUUUCACUCGACCCUAAUUUAGGCGCCCAGGCUGACCAAGUUGAUUUCCGUAUUGCCUUGAGUCGAAGACGGAAAUGAGCCACCGCAAUCGUCAAUCAUCAAUCGAUAACCAUCGCUGCUGCAUCGUGUAAAAGGAAACUUUUAAAUGAAGAAGAAGA